UACGUAGGGUGCAAGCGUUGUCCGGAAUUAUUGGGCGUAAAGAGCUCGUAGGCGGUUUGUCGCGUCUGCUGUGAAAUCCCGAGGCUCAACCCCCGGGCCUGCAGUGGGUACGGGCAGACUAGAGUGCGGUAGGGGGAGACUGGAAUUCCUGGUGUAGCGGUGAAAUGCGAGCGUAUACAGGAGGAACACCGGUGGCGAAGGCGGGUCUCUGGGCCGUAACUGACGCUGAGGAGCGAAAGCGUGGGGGAGCGAACAGG
rnacentral:rRNA from 1 species